rnacentral:rRNA from 1 species
CGUACACUCCUACGGGAGGCAGCAGUGGGGAAUUUUGGACAAUGGGCGAAAGCCUGAUCCAGCCAUGCCGCGUGCAGGAUGAAGGCCUUCGGGUUGUAAACUGCUUUUGUACGGAACGAAACGGCCUUUUCUAAUAAAGAGGGCUAAUGACGGUACCGUAAGAAUAAGCACCGGCUAACUACGUGCCAGCAGCCGCGGUAAUACGUAGGGUGCAAGCGUUAAUCGGAAUUACUGGGCGUAAAGCGUGCGCAGGCGGUUAUGUAAGACAGUUGUGAAAUCCCCGGGCUCAACCUGGGAACUGCAUCUGUGACUGCAUAGCUAGAGUACGGUAGAGGGGGAUGGAAUUCCGCGUGUAGCAGUGAAAUGCGUAGAUAUGCGGAGGAACACCGAUGGCGAAGGCAAUCCCCUGGACCUGUACUGACGCUCAUGCACGAAAGCGUGGGGAGCAAACAGGAUUAGAUACCCCGGUAGUCCCAUGAU